rnacentral:RNase_P_RNA from 2 species
CGCAAGUGGGAUCAGGUAAGGGUGAAAGGGUGCGGUAAGAGCGCACCGCGCGGCUGGUAACAGUCCGUGGCACGGUAAACUCCACCCGGAGCAAGGCCAAAUAGGGGUUCAUAAGGUACGGCCCGUACUGAACCCGGGUAGGCUGCUUGAGCCAGUGAGCGAUUGCUGGCCUAGAUGAAUGACUGUCCACGACAGAACCCGGCUUAUCGGUCAGUUUCACCU